rnacentral:rRNA from 1 species
UACGUAGGGUGCAAGCGUUGUCCGGAAUUAUUGGGCGUAAAGGGCUCGUAGGCGGUCCAUCACGUCGGGAGUGAAAAGCUGGGGCUUAACCCCAGUCCUGCUUCCGAUACGGGUGGACUAGAGGUAGGCAGGGGAGAACGGAAUUCCUGGUGUAGCGGUGAAAUGCGCAGAUAUCAGGAAGAACACCCGUGGCGAAAGCGGCUCUCUGGAACGGUACUGACGCUGAGACGCGAAAGCGUGGGGAGCGAACAGG